rnacentral:rRNA from 1 species
AGGGGGCUAGCGUUGUUCGGAAUUACUGGGCGUAAAGCGCACGUAGGCGGACAUUUAAGUCAGGGGUGAAAUCCCGGGGCUCAACCCCGGAACUGCCUUUAAUACUGCCAAUCUAGAGACCGAGAGAGGUAAGUGGAACUCCUAGUGUAGAGGUGGAAUUCGUAGAUAUUAGGAAGAACACCAGUGGCGAAGGCGGCUUACUGGCUCGGAACUGACGCUGAGGUGCGAAAGCGUGGGGAGCAAACAG